UUUUGGAGUUUCUGAAACUAGGGUUUUUUUUUUUUUUUUUCAUGGGAUGCUUGUGGUUCAAUUUUAGUAAGAUUUUUGGUCUAUUUACUUGAUUUUGUUUGUUUUGUUUUGGGGUUUGCUACAGGGAGAUUUAAUAUUUGUGGUUUCUAAAGCUAAUUGGAACAAAACUAGGGUUGUUUUGAGCUUGGUUUUGGAUUUUUUGGGUAUCCCUUGAAGCUUUGGAAUGGUUUGACUUUGUGGGUAUUUAGCAGAAGUACAUAUAUUUCGUUUGAUGAAGUUGUAUUUGAGAUACAAGGAGUUGGAAAGUUGUAUUUGAGCUUUGUUUUGAAAUUCUGCGAAAUUGUGUUUUGAAGCUUAUGAGAAGAUUGAUAAUUCGUAUAUAUUGAAUGAUGAAAAUAGAAUGAGGUACAGAACCUUUAUACAAAUACAAUAGCCAAUUAGGGUGCUGGGAACUAGCCUAAAUGGAUCAUUCCUUAAUAUACACGUCUACAUAAAAGGAAGGAAAUAAACUAAAUAUCUGUACAGAUCAAUGAUUAAUACUCAGAAUCAAUCACGUUGAUUUAGUUGGGAUUUUACGCUCCUCAACACUCCCCUUCAAGUUGGAAUGUAUGUUGAUGAUUCCUAACUUGCUGAGUAAAAUCGCAAAUUGUGGAAGACUCACGGCCUUUGUGAAUAUGUCUGCUGGUUGUUGUAAGGUGGAAAUAUGAGCCGUUUUGAUCAUUCCACUUUGAACCUUUUCUCUCACCAGAUGGCAAUCAAUUUCAAUGUGUUUAGUCCGUUCAUGAAAUACUGGAUCCGAAGCAAUGUGGAGCGCUGCUUGGUUGUCACAAUAUAACUUGACUGCAUGUGAAUGCUUAAUGCCUAAAUCUUGCAAAAUAUAUCGUAACCAAGUAAUUUCGCAACAAGCGGCGGCCAUGGAACGAUAUUCAGCUUCGGCACUAGAUCGGGAUACUGUGGUUUGCUUCUUGGUCUUCCAAGAAACCAAAGAAUUGCCAAGAAAUACACAAUACCCGGUAGUAGAACGUCGAGUAUCACGACAUCGAGCCCAAUCCGCAUCACAAAAAGCAUUUAAUUGAAUUGGACUGUUGGCAGAAAGAAAAAUACCUUGCCCUGGUGCACGUUUGACAUAGCGCAAAACCCGAUAAGCUGCCUCUAGGUGUGGUGUUCGUGGCUUAUCCAUGAACUGGCUUAGAGUGUGAACGGCAUACACCAAGUCAGGCCGGGUAAUUGUCAAAUAGAUCAGCCUCCCCACAAGCCUUCGAUACGAAGACGGAUCAUCAAUGUAGUCGCCAUCAUGUUUGCUAAGGGACAAAUUCUGCUCCAUGGGUGAAAGAGAGAGGAUGUUUGGUACCUUGGGGUUCAAUCGACGCCGAGUUAGAUGAUGGGAGAGACCGGGCAGGUAAUUUUAUGUUGACAUGAUACUGCUGAAGAUAACUGGGCAUGGUGGUACGCCGGGGCAGUGGUGGAGACACCGGUGUGAGAGGAGAUGGAGGUGCUGGAAGCACGAGAUCAGGUGCUGGAAGUGCAAGAUCAGGUGCUGGAAGGGAAAAGGUAGGUGCUGGAAGCGCAAGAGCAGGUGCUGGAAGCUCAGGGGCAGGCGCUGGAAGUGUUUCCAGCGCAAGGUCAGGCGCUGGAAACUGUGAACUAGGAGAAGGAAGUCCAGGAGUUGGGGCAUCAUCAAAAUGGGUGGGAUGAGAAAUUGGGAAGACAAGAGAAGAGUCGGUGGCGGAAGAUGGAAAAGGGAAAGUAGUUUCAUGAAAGAUGACAUCCCGAGAAAUAAAAAUUUUACCCGUAUUGAGAUCAUAAACCCGAUAGCCCUUUGUGCCAUAUGGGUAACCAAGAAAAAUGCAACGUGUGGCCCUAGCAUCAAAUUUGGUUGGACGUAGAUGAUGAGUAGAGGCAAAGCACAAACAACCAAAAACUCUUAAGUGGUCAUAGACUGGGGGUUUUCGAAAAAGGACUUCGUAGGGAGUUUUUUCUUUAAGAACUUGUGUAGGAGUGCGGUUAAUAAGAUAUGUGGCAGUGAGUAUGGCAUCCCCCCAAAAUUUCUUAGGAAGUUUGGCUUGGAAGAGUAAAGCUCGGGCAACAUUGAGAAGAUGUCGGUGUUUUCUUUCGACUACUCCAUUUUGUUGUGGAGUGGAGACACAACUAGUGUGAUGUAAAAUCCCUUUAUCAGAAAAAAAUUGUGUCAUUAGAAACUCAGGUCCAUUAUCACUGCGAACAAUUUUAACAUGGGAAGAGAAUUGUGUUUCAACAAGAUUGAUAAAGGUAGUGAGCUUUUGGCGUGCAUCUGAUUUGUGGUGCAUUAAAUAAACCCAUGUACAUCUGGAGUAAUCAUCUACAAUGGUUAAGAAGUAUUGUGCCUUAGUGAUGGAAGGAACAUGAUAACCACCCCAAAUAUCAACAUGAAUUAAUUCAAAUGGCGCAAGUGAAUUAAUAGAACUCAAAGGAAAAGGAUGGCGAGUUUGUUUAGCUAAAGGACAAACCAAACAAUCAUCAAUGUCACAAAAUUUCAUGUUUUUAACAGAAAGGGAAAGAGCACGUAGGCUUUUAUUUGAAAGAUGACCAAGGCGUUGAUGCCAAAGUUGAGAAGAAGAAGGAACAAGGGCUGAAACGGAAUUGCACCCAGCUGUCUUCGCAGUAUCAAGAUAGUAGAGACCUUCCCUCUCAGUUCCCGUCCCAAUCAUCUUCCCCGAACGUCGGUCCUGAACAAUACAAGAUUCAUUAGUGAACAUGGCAAGACAAGAGGAGCUUUUGGUGAGCUUGCUCACAUAGAUUAAAUUUAAUCUAAAUGAGGGAACACAAAGCACAUUAUGAAGAAUAAAAUCAUCCGAGAAACGGAUAGUGCCGAUGUGGGUGACAUUGACAAUGGCAUGAUCAGGAAGGUACACUUGACGAUUAGAGACUGGAGUGCAUGUAGUCAACAACUUAGGCGAACAAACCAUGUGAUCGGUGGCACCAGUGUCAAAAAUCCAGUUGAGUCCACCAACGAAAGCAGAGGCACAUAAGGUGUUACAUGAAAGAUCGCUGGUGCUGGAAGCAGUGCUAACAUGAUUAGCCAAAACUGUGGGCUUGUUUUGAUUGAGGAGAGCAAGGAAGCUCUGGUAUUGUGCUGCGGUGAGGUUGUAUGUUGGAGGAGCUGCAGUGGCCACAGGAGUGGCAUCAACAUGAUGGACCGAAGGAGAAAAUGACCCCCGACGACCUUGAGAGUCACUGUUGCCGCCAGUGGAUUGAGCCUUCUUCAAUUUGCGGCAUUGGUCAAUAGUGUGCCGACGCCAGCCACAAUAAUCACAUUUAAGAUGUUCUCGACAUGUAUCAGAAGUGUGUCCUGUGGCAUCACAACGUUCACACUUAAGAUGAGGGUUUUUAGGUGAGAAAUUUCUACCAGAAUUUCGAGGACCAUGAACGGCGAAGGCUGCGGCGUCAGUGACUGGUGUUUUCCCGAGGGCAUGAGUAGAAAUUGCUCGUUGCUUUUCAUCUUGGGUGAUAAGGGAAAAAGCUUUGUUGACUGCAGGAAAUGGGUCCAUCAGUAAGAUUUGUCCUCGAACUCCAACGUAUGCGUCAUUUAAUCCCAUAAGAAAUUUCAUGGUCUUUUGGUGCUGGUGGAAUUGGAACAUCUCUUUGGUUGCUCCGCAGUGGCAAGAUGGAAGGGAGCAAAGUGCAUCUCUCGAAUCCCAUAAGCCCUUCAACUUGGUGUAAUAGGCACCGAUGGUCAUGCUUCCUUGAACGCAGUCAUGAAUUUCUUGCUCAAUGUGGAAAAGAUGGACACUAUUAGCGUGAGAGAAUCGUUCCUUUAGAUCAUUCCAUAUGUCGGACGCAACAUCGUUAUAAAUGAUGCUCGCACCAAUAUCCGGGGAGAUGGAAUUGAGGAGCCAGCUCUUGACAAGAUUGUUACACCGUGUCCACUGUUGGAGAGUUGUGGAAGAACCAUGUAGAGGCUUCUUGAGGGUGCCAUCGACGAAACCUUCUUUGUUUUUGGUGUUGAGCGCCAUGAGCAUGGAGCGACUCCAGGUUGGAUAAUUUUCGUCAUUCAGGAGUUGUGUGACAAGGACAACCCCUGGUUGAUCAGAGUGAUGGAGGUAGAGAGGAUCAUUAGGAUCAUCAUAUUUGGGUUGCUCAGGCUGGGCUGAGGCUUGAGAAUCAAUUUUGGGUUGCUCGGGCUUGGCUGAGGCUUGAGGUGAUUCGCUGUCGUUGAUCGCCAUGGAGGUUAGCGAGAGGACAGGCUAGGGUUUGUUUUGUGUAGGUAACCUGGCUCUGAUACCAUGAGAAGAUUGAUAAUUCGUAUAUAUUGAAUGAUGAAAAUAGAAUGAGGUACAUAACCUUUAUACAAAUACAAUAGCCAAUUAGGGUGCUGGGAACUAGCCUAAAUGGAUCAUUCCUUAAUAUACACGUCUACAUAAAAGGAAGGAAAUAAACUAAAUAUCUGUACAGAUCAAUGAUUAAUACUCAGAAUCAAUCACGUUGAUUUAGUUGGGAUUUUAC
rnacentral:lncRNA from 1 species